CCUACGGGAGGCAGCAGUGGGGAAUUUUCCGCAAUGGGCGAAAGCCUGACGGAGCAAUACCGCGUGAGGGAAGACUGCCUAUGGGUUGUAAACCUCUUUUUUCAGGGAGGAAUAAAAUGACGUGUACCUGAAGAAUAAGCAUCGGCUAACUCCGUGCCAGCAGCCGCGGUAAGACGGAGGAUGCAAGUGUUAUCCGGAAUCACUGGGCGUAAAGCGUCUGUAGGUGGUUUAAUAAGUCAACUGUUAAAUCUUGAGGCUCAACUUCAAAACCGCAGUCGAAACUAUUAGACUAGAGUAUAGUAGAGGUAAAGGGAAUUUCCAGUGGAGCGGUGAAAUGCGUAGAUAUUGGAAAGAACACCGAUGGCGAAAGCACUUUACUGGGCUAUUACUAACACUCAGAGACGAAAGCUAGGGUAGCAAAUGGGAUUAGAUACCCCAGUAGUCCUAGCCGUAAACUAUGGAUACUAGAUGUUGAACAGAUCGACCUGUGCAGUAUCAAAGCUAACGCGUUAAGUAUCCCGCCUGGGAAGUAUGCUCGCAAAGNGUAGAAACUNAAAUGAAUUGACGNNGAGAGUUGCGAGGCGACGACGAGGGAGAGG
rnacentral:rRNA from 1 species